UAGCGACUUCAGAGUUUGAUCCUGGCUCAGGAUGAACGCUGGCGGCGUGCCUAACACAUGCAAGUCGAACGGAGAUUCAUUGGAAAUAAGCUUCGGCAGAAAUAAGAUGGAUCUUAGUGGCGGACGGGUGAGUAACGCGUGGAGAACCUGCCCUGUACAGGGGGAUAACAUCCAGAAAUGGAUGCUAAAACCGCAUAAGCGCACAUGACCGCAUGGUCAAGUGUGAAAAACUCCGGUGGUACAGGAUGGCUCCGCGUUGGAUUAGCCAGUUGGCGGGGUAACGGCCCACCAAAGCGACGAUCCAUAGCCGGCCUGAGAGGGUGGACGGCCACAUUGGGACUGAGACACGGCCCAG
rnacentral:rRNA from 1 species